AAAGGCGGUUAUAGUGGUGAGGAUCCACCUCUUACCAUUCCGAACAGAGAAGUUAAGCUCACCUGCGCCGAUGAUACUGCUACACCAAGUGGAAAAGUAGGUUGCCGCCACCU
rnacentral:rRNA from 1 species